GCCGAGGUCGCGUAAUCCGGUAUCGCGCAGGUCUGGAAAACCUGUGUCCUUCGGGACUUGUGGGUUCAAAUCCCUCCCUCGGCG
rnacentral:tRNA from 1 species